UUUUUUCGAAACCGAAACCAGCAGCUACCAGCAUAAUAUGUGCUGCUAUGCACCAACUAAGACUGAGGAACAACAACAAAAGACAGUUAUCAAUUUACCCAAAACCCCAAAAAUAACAAGAAAACAAACCGUUUUUAAUCCUUGAAAAAGGCAAUAAAUUUGCCGAAACGUCGGAAAUUGAAACAAUACAUUGUUUUCACUGCUAAAUGACUGAAAGCCGAAAACCAAAUCCAAAAUUGUAGAGUAACAGUCGAGAGCAUAACUACUGAAAA